rnacentral:rRNA from 1 species
UACCAGCUCCUCGAGUGGUCGGGACGAUUAUUGGGCCUAAAGCACCCGUAGCCGGUUCCGUAAGUCCUCUGUUAAAUCCAACCGCCCAACGGUUGGCCUGCAGGGGAUACUGCGGGACUAGGAGGCGGGAGAGGCGGACGGUACUCCGCGUGUAGGGGUAAAAUCCUUUGAUCCGCGGAAGACCACCAGUGGCGAAGGCGGUCCGCCAGAACGCGCUCGACGGUGAGGGGUGAAAGCUGGGGGAG